rnacentral:rRNA from 1 species
CUGACCGAUAGUGAACCAGUACCGUGAGGGAAAGGCGAAAAGACCCCCGGCGAGGGGAGUGAAAUAGAACCUGAAACCGGAUGCAUACAAACAGUGGGAGCGGACUUGUUCCGUGACUGCGUACCUUUUGUAUAAUGGGUCAGCGACUUACGUUCAGUAGCAAGCUUAACCGAAUAGGGGAGGCGUAGGGAAACCGAGUCCGAAUAGGGCGCUUUAGUUGCUGGGCGUAGACCCGAAACCGAGUGAUCUAUCCAUGGCCAGGAUGAAGGUGCGGUAACACGCACUGGAGGUCCGAACCCACUAGUGUUGCAAAACUAGGGGAUGAGCUGUGGAUAGGGGUGAAAGGCUAAACAAACUCGGAGAUAGCUGGUUCUCCCC